AUAUACAUAUACAUAUACAUAUACAUACACACACACAUAUAUAUAUAUAUAUGUGUGUGUGUGUGUGUGUGUAUAUAUAUGUGUGUGUGU